UACGUAGGGGGCAAGCGUUGUCCGGAUUUAUUGGGCGUAAAGAGCGUGUAGGCGGCCAGACAGGUCCGUUGUGAAAACUCGAGGCUCAACCUCGAGACGCCGAUGGAAACCGUUUGGCUAGAGUCCGGAAGAGGAGAGUGGAAUUUACGGUGUAGCAGUGAAAUGCGUAGAGAUCGUAAGGAAGACCAGUGGCGAAGGCGAGUUUCUGGACAGUUACUGACGCUGAGGCACGAAGGCCAGGGGAGCAAACGGG
rnacentral:rRNA from 1 species